rnacentral:misc_RNA from 1 species
GUUGUGUUUCAUCGGCUUGAUGAUGAAUCAUACAUGUUUGAGCGUCUUCCACAGCUGCUGCAUCGCCUUCAGGUUUUUCUUGGAGGGAGAGCAGCUGAAGAGGUCAUUUAUGGGCAGGAUACAUCGAAGGCAUCAGUUGCCUAUCUUGCAGAUGCAUCUUGGCUUGCUCGUAAAAUCAUAACCAUAUGGAACUUGGAGAAUCCAAUGGUCAUACAUGGAGAACCACCUCCUUGGAGAAAGAAAGUUAGAUUUGUGGGCCCACGACUGGACUUUGAAGGAUCACUUUAUGAUGAUUAUAACCUAAUUGAACCCCCUGUCAACUUCAAUUUGGAUGACCAAGUUGCGCAGAGAACUGAGGAGUUGAUACGUGAUAUGUAUGGAAAAACUGUUUCUUUGCUAAGAUGGCACCAUACCGCUUUGGUCAAAGCUGUGAAGGUUCUUCUUAAUCAGAAGGAAAUCAGUGGAGAAGAAAUUGAUUAUAUUUUAAACAAGUAUCCUCCGCAAACGCGCUUAAGUCUUCUUUUAGAGGAAAAAAAUCCGGGAAGCCUUCCUUUCACCAAAGAAGAACUAGGGGGCGAAUUAGAUCAUGCCCUGCUAACUUCAUCAGAAGGAAAAACCCUAUGAACAAGAUACAACAGCUUUCUGUCAUGCAUGCGAACAUAAGCUGCUGCACUGGAACCUUAUUGCUGCUGUUUGAGAGUAUAAAUGGGAUGCACAUGGAAUUUUAAUUGUCUAUUAAAACUGCUGAUUGCAAGUUAUUUCAUAAUUUUUUUAUUCCACCAAAAUGAGCAAAGAUGUAAAUAUAUA